rnacentral:piRNA from 1 species
UGCAAGAGUCAGAGUCACCAUGGAAGGAUGU